rnacentral:misc_RNA from 1 species
UCUCCGUUGGUGAACCAGCGGAGGGAUCAUUACAGAGUUCCACAACUCCCAACCCCUGCGAACCGUACCCCAGUUCGUUCUCGUUGCCUCCUGGCGGCGGGCCCCCGGUGCCCCCGCCGGGGCCCCCGCCCGCGGCGGCGUGCCCCCUGACCCCUUUUUUCUUAUCCAGCCCGUCCGAGCAUCAAAACAAAUGAAUCAAAACUUACAACAACGGAUCUCUUGGUUCUGUCCACCAUGGAAAACCCAACAGACCGGAAGAGAACAGGUCUGCACUCCACC